AACUCUCAACAACGGAUAUCUUGGCUCCCGUAACGAUGAAGAACGCAGCGAAAUGCGAUACGUAGUGGAAUUGCAGAAUUCCGUGAACCAUCGAAUCUUUGAACCAAAUUGCGCUCGAGGCCUCGGCUAAGAGCAUGUCUGGCUCAGCGUC
rnacentral:rRNA from 1 species